UACAUGUGGGGCAAGCGUUGUUCGGAAUUACUGGGCAUAAAGGGCGCGUAGGCGGUGCGGUAAGUCACCUGUGAAAUCUCCGGGCUUAACUCGGAGCCUGCAGGCGAAACUGCCGUGCUUGAGUGUGGGAGAGGUGCGUGGAAUUCCCGGUGUAGCGGUGAAAUGCGCAGAUAUCGGGAAGAACACCCGUGGCGAAGGCGGCUCUCUGGGACGGUACUGACGCUGAGACGCGAAAGCGUGGGGAGCGAACAGG
rnacentral:rRNA from 1 species